rnacentral:tRNA from 1 species
AUCUAAAUAGUUUAUUAAAAAUAUGAAUUUGUGGAAUUCAAGAAAUAUAAUUAUUUUAGGUA